rnacentral:tRNA from 1 species
GCUCGCGUAGCUCAGUGGCGAGAGCGGCGCCUUCACACGGCGACGGUCCCAGGUUCGAGUCCUGGCGUGAGCA